rnacentral:rRNA from 1 species
GACGAACGCUGGCGGCGUGCUUAACACAUGCAAGUCGAACGGAAAGGCCCUGCUUUUGUGGGGUGCUCGAGUGGCGAACGGGUGAGUAACACGUGAGUAACCUGCCCUUGACUUUGGGAUAACUUCAGGAAACUGGGGCUAAUACCGGAUAGGAGCUCCUGCUGCAUGGUGGGGGUUGGAAAGUUUCGGCGGUUGGGGAUGGACUCGCGGCUUAUCAGCUUGUUGGUGGGGUAGUGGCUUACCAAGGCUUUGACGGGUAGCCGGCCUGAGAGGGUGACCGGACACAUUGGACCUGGAAUACGACCCAGACUCCUACGGGAGGCAGCGGUGGAGAAUAUUGCACAAGGGGCGGAAGCCUAAUGCAGCCACGCCGUGUGGGGGAUGACAGCCUUCGGGUUGUAAUCCGCUUUCGCCUGUGACGAAGCGUGAGUGACGGUAAUGGGUAAAGAAGCACCGGCUAACUACGUG